rfam:Salmo salar isolate Sally breed double haploid chromosome ssa04, whole genome shotgun sequence.
UGGCUCAGUAGGUAGAGCAUGGUGUUUGCAACGCCAGCAUGGUGUGUGCAACGCCAGGGUUGUGGGUUCGAUUCCCAC